UGCCCAAACAAAAAAAAAGGGGGGGUGGAGUGCUUAGGAUAUAGAUAUUCAGCCCUUUUUGUAAAGGCCCAUACUCUAAGAAUUUAGGUUUAUUCUUAUCACUUAGCUAGUUAUACAGGUAUAAAAGAAAGAAUCAAAAUCACUGUCUGCCGGUGUAAGGGCCUUCUCUUACUGUGACAGUCUGAG